CUGUUUCCUUGAGAAGUGGCUUCCGGAGCUAACGCGUUAAGUCGACCGCCUGGGGAGUACGGCCGCAAGGUUAAAACUCAAAUGAAUUGACGGGGGCCCGCACAAGCGGUGGAGCAUGUGGUUUAAUUCGAUGCAACGCGAAGAACCUUACCUGGCCUUGACAUCCAGAGAACUUAGCAGAGAUGCUUUGGUGCCUUCGGGAACUCUGAGACAGGUGCUGCAUGGCUGUCGUCAGCUCGUGUUGUGAAAUGUUGGGUUAAGUCCCGCAACGAGCGCAACCCUUAUCCUUUGUUGCCAGCGGGUAGUGCCGGGAACUCAAAGGAGACUGCCGGUGAUAAACCGGAGGAAGGUGGGGAUGACGUCAAGUCAUCAUGGCCCUUACGGCCAGGGCUACACACGUGCUACAAUGGCGCAUACAAAGAGAAGCGACCUCGCGAGAGCAAGCGGACCUCAUAAAGUGCGUCGUAGUCCGGAUCGGAGUCUGCAACUCGACUCCGUGAAGUCGGAAUCGCUAGUAAUCGUAGAUCAGAAUGCUACGGUGAAUACGUUCCCGGGCCUUGUACACACCGCCCGUCACACCAUGGGAGUGGGUUGCAAAAGA
rnacentral:rRNA from 1 species